CAGCCUAUAAUGUCCUAAUCAGUUAGGAGGAAGUAAUAGUGGUGAGUACCUUAUUCUAUGUUGGACAUUAUUUCGAGAAAGUGAGGCAUUGGGAGGGGGUGGCUAAUGAAUAAUCUGCAUGCAGCCAGUAAUGAAGGAUCUGCAAGUAGCCAGUUGGAUAAGCCACACAAGCUAGCUAGCUAUAAAUCAGAUGGUUUGGGGCAGAAUUGGGAGAAGCUUGUGCACGGGCUGAUGGCUGCGGGGCCGUGCAAACUUAGGCUACCUGGAGGAGUCACUUUGCCACUUCUUGAGGGCUUCCAAAUAAUAAAAAAUAAAUUUUAUUUAUACCCCACCCUCCCCAGCCAAGGCCAGGUUCAGGGCGGCUAACAACCAAUAAUAAAAAAAGUUGAAUGAAUACAACUUAAAAACAAGAUUAAAAUACAACAUUAAAACAUUAAAACAUUAGAAUGCAGCUUCAUCACAGGAGGAGAAAGGAAAAAAAGAAAGAGGGGGAGGGAAUCAAAUUGACUCCAAGCCAAAGGCCAGGUGGAAAUUAGAUCACUGGGGGAGGAAGGUGGUUGCGGAGGGUGCAGUGCACACCAGGUGUCAGCCGUGAGGGUGGGUGACAUUGCUGCACCACCCCCUGCUUGCUGCAUGGGUGGCAACCCCGGACGCUCAUCGCUUUGAUUAUGAGAGCAAAAAAUAAACAUCCAGUAGUCUAGAUAGAAAGAACUGGGUAGUCAGGCUGAUGUUUACUUGGUUGCAGAGGUUUACUGGCCAUUGCUGUUGGCAUGGAGAUAGUCUAGGUUGAAUGCAAACAGGCCAUUCUGAUGUCAUGUGUGAUGUCACAAAGAGGAUCUGCUUUAAGUCUUGGUAAAACCAGAAACAGUUAACAGACUGCAGCUCAGUAUUGUCAAGAUGGAUCUCCAUAACAGUUGAUGAAUAGUUUUAUUUGGGGGAUAUAUUAACUUUUACUAUUGAGGGAAAGUUUUAGAUUGGUUUGCCAGUUUGUACCCCAUCAGGUUGAGGCCAAUAGAUAUACAUUCACAACCCUGUACCCAUCAAAUAAUCAACUUUAUGUGUGACUUUGGGACUGAUUCAUACAGCCACAUUUCCUUUCCCCACUCUAUAGCAGCCUUUUCUCUGUAUUUGAAAAAAUAACCAAGAAGGAGAAGAUAAGGAACCAGGAUUAGGAUUUGGAUGAGUAGCAGCUAAGCUUUACAGGUGAGGGGGCUAGGAAGAGGGCUUUGUGGUCCAGCAUAGGAAUGAUGGGUGCUUCAUAUUAUUGAAUUCCUGUUCCACAAAGAAGACUUAGAGCUCAUUGCUCUCCAACUUUCAAGGCUCGCCAGGUUCUGGGAGAUGGAGGGUCUGGUAUGCUUUCUAGUGACAACGGGCGACAGGCCGCUAGGAACGAUGCUGCC